AGGACGAACGCUGGCGGCGUGCUUAACACAUGCAAGUCGAGCGGAAAGGCCCUUCGGGGUACUCGAGCGGCGAACGGGUGAGUAACACGUGAGUAAUCUGCCCCUAGCUCUGGGAUAGCUCCGGGAAACCGGGAUUAAUACCAGAUACGACCACUUUAGACAUCUUCUGUGGUGGAAAGAACUUCGGCUAGGGAUGAACUCGCGGCCUAUCAGCUUGUUGGUGAGGUAACGGCUCACCAAGGCGACGACGGGUAGCCGGCCUGAGAGGGCGACCGGCCACACUGGGACUGAGACACGGCCCAGACUCCUACGGGAGGCAGCAGUGGGGAAUAUUGCGCAAUGGGCGAAAGCCUGACGCAGCGACGCCGCGUGGGGAUGAAGGCCUUCGGGUUGUAAACCCUUUCAGCAGGGACGAAGCGAAAGUGACGGUACCUGCAGAAGAAGCGCCGGCUAACUACGCGCCAGCAGCCGC
rnacentral:rRNA from 1 species